rnacentral:rRNA from 1 species
CCUACGGGUGGCAGCAGUGAGGAAUAUUGGUCAAUGGGCGAGAGCCUGAACCAGCCAAGUCGCGUGAAGGAUGACGGCCCUACGGGUUGUAAACUUCUUUUGUCAGGGAGCAAUUUGGUCCACGCGUGGGCUUAGCUAGAGUACCUGAAGAAAAAGCAUCGGCUAACUCCGUGCCAGCAGCCGCGGUAAUACGGAGGAUGCGAGCGUUAUCCGGAUUUAUUGGGUUUAAAGGGUGCGUAGGCGGAAUAUCAAGUCAGCGGUAAAAAUUCGGGGCUCAACCCCGUCGUGCCGUUGAAACUGAUGGUCUUGAGUGGGCGAGAAGUAUGCGGAAUGCGUGGUGUAGCGGUGAAAUGCAUAGAUAUCACGCAGAACUCCGAUUGCGAAGGCAGCAUACCGGCGCCCAACUGACGCUGAAGCACGAAAGCGUGGGUAUCGAACAGGAUUAGAUACCCGAGUAGUC